AGCAGCCGCGGUAAUUCCAGCUCCAAUAGCGUAUAUUAAAGUUGUUGCAGUUAAAAAGCUCGUAGUUGAAUUUCGGGGUUAGUAGGUUGGUCAUGCCUCUGGUAUGUACUGGUCUCACUGAUUCCUCCUUCCUGAUGAACCUUAAUGCCAUUAAUUUGGUGUUUUGGGGAAUCAGGACUGUUACUUUGAAAAAAUUAGAGUGUUUAAAGCAGGCUCACGCUUGAAUACAUUAGCAUGGAAUAACGAAAUAGGACGUUUGAUUUUAUUUUGUUGGUUUCUAGGAUCGACGUAAUGAUUAAUAGGGAUAGUUGGGGGCAUUAGUAUUCAAUUGUCAGAGGUGAAAUUCUUGGAUUUAUUGAAGACUAACUACUGCGAAAGCAUUUGCCAAGGAUGUUUUCAUUAAUCAAGAACGAAAGUUAGGGGAUCGAAGACGAUCAGAUACCGUCGUAGUCUUAACCAUAAACUAUGCCGACUAGGGAUCGGAUGAUGUUAAUUUUUUAAUGACUCA
rnacentral:rRNA from 1 species